UACGUAGGGUCCGAGCGUUGUCCGGAAUUAUUGGGCGUAAAGGGCUCGUAGGCGGUCCGUCACGUCGGGAGUGAAAACUCAGGGCUCAACCCUGAGCGUGCUUCCGAUACGGGCAGACUAGAGGUAUGCAGGGGAGAACGGAAUUCCUGGUGUAGCGGUGGAAUGCGCAGAUAUCAGGAGGAACACCGGUGGCGAAGGCGGUUCUCUGGGCCGAUACUGACGCUGAGGAGCGAAAGCGUGGGGAGCGAACAGG
rnacentral:rRNA from 1 species